AUGGGUUUGCUGAAAACCAAGUCUUGUGGCACCUGGCCACAAUCCACACAAGAAGAAAACACCAGAGGCAAAGAGGCCGGCGCCCAUGGUGACCGCAGAACCAGGUGGGGAGUUACUCCCUUGGGAGCCCAAACCCCGGGCUGCAUGGUGCUGCUACUCCUGCCCCUGUGGAGACUGAGAAAUUCUGUGUUCCUGCAGCAUUUCACCGCACUGGUCUCGCAGAGGUCACCGCCAGCCUUGCCACAUGAACCCAACACACACAGGACGACCUCUGCUGCUACUUGGGUGCCACACAGGUGUUAAGAGUAGUAGGUAUCAGUUCAACGCCAUGCUUUCAACAAAAGUACCUGCGAACUCCCAAGCCUUUCCCAUCACUUCAAGUUGAAAAGGAACAACCUAUUUUUCAUGGUACCUCUAAAACACCAUCUGAUUAAAUAUCUCCAGAAAGCUUGAGCUGAAAGUCAUGUAGGCUCUACAAACUCUCCAUAUUCUCGUAAAUGAAAAGCAAAGCUCCUCAAAGGGCCUAGCAGCAUUUCUGUUUGGCUCAAUGAAAAUGGGUUUUCAUGGUGAAGGUGUCAGGAUUCAAGGUAAAAGAGAAGUCAUGGGAAUGAAGUAGGAGGCCUGGAGUAAGCAGUCUACAGAGUAAUUCCUUUCACGCCACCUGCCACCUACGUAAACCCAUCCCACUGACCAGACUCUGGAGAAAGUAAAACCAUCUGGAAACAGUAUUCCAAAACUAGGCAGCACAGAGAUAGAUAUUUAUCUGAAACCAUUAGAAAUGCCUCAUUUUUCAAAUGUCAGAUGAUAAGGCCAAACCUAAGGCCAAAACAGCUAUUCCAGGGCUGCUAUGCACCAUAAUACUGAACACCAUGAAACUGGCAGUAUGAUUUGGCACUGAAAAUUAUCACUUUGCAAUACUCUCAGAUUGAAAGAAAACCUGAACAACAGAAAAGAAAAGCACUCUUUACUGCACAUCAUCUCAUUACUUUAACCUAGAGUAAUCCAAACUCUUCUGUUUCAGACUGCUCUGUAUGGAGCAGUCAGGCCAGGCAGUGCCAUUCUGCAUCUGCACAAAUCACCAGUUUUUACCCCCCAAAAUAGAGGUGAAAAGGUGGAUGGCUGAGCAAGUCAGGAG
rnacentral:lncRNA from 1 species